CUGGGGUGCGGGGAACUUCACUUCGUGGUGGAGACAGGCUUGGUGUCACUCAGACCGGAGUUCAAGUCUCAUCUUUGCUACUGACUGCCUAUGUAAUCUCAAGCAGGUUUUGUCCCCUCUGGACCUGUUUUCUUAUCUGUGAAGUGGGGAUAACUGCAGUACCUCCCACACAGAAUUGCCAUGCAGGUUAAAGGAAGAAAUAUCCCUGAGUAUAUUUUCUGGAAUACUCAUGUGUUGUGCCCCAAGGUCAGGUUUUGUCACACCACACACAGCCUGGGGUGUCUCAGUGCCUUGCCCCAGUCCUGCAGGCCCACACAGCUCCAGCUCAGUCAGACAAGCUUCUGUAAACACCACUUUCAGCUUAGGAACCUCCAGGGGCUCCCUCUGGCCAGUGAUUCUCAACUCCAGCUACGCAGCUUCAGCCCUUCAGAAAAAAUAUAGAAUCUGCACCUCUACCCAGACUAAUUGAAUCAGAAACUCCAACAGUUGCCAUGCUGGCCUGAAGCUGUAUAAGCUCCUGGUAUUUCCUGCCCUGCUCUUUCUUGGGCAUAUAAGCCAGUCUGCUACCCUGGGGAGGGAGGGAGUAUAAUUCAGCAAGUUCUGGUUGAUUCCUGAUCCCCAGAAUCUCCUCUGAGAGAAACGUGUGAAUGUACACAAGUGAAAACCAGGGCAGAUCAGGGUUUUGUUGCAGCAUUGCUUGCGAUAGGAAAUAAACAUUGUAACAGCUAAUAUCCAGACAGCUCACUAAGUGCGGGGCACUGUUCUAAGCAUUUGGGUGUAAUUUAACUCAUUUAAUCAUCACAUCAACCUAUAAGGCAGAAAGAGAAAAAUUCCUUCCUUAAAGGUCAUUUUUAACACCAAGGUUCCGUAAAGACCUCAGCCCUCCACCGGAACAGCUAACUUGGGGUUUCCUCUUCACCCGAGUCUCCCCAGGCAGAGGUGCUCCCCAAGAGCCAAGAGGUUGAGGGAUUGUAAGGGGUCCUCUGGGAGUGUGCAGCCUUGGUUUCUGGGAGUGGGCCCCAUGCAAUGCCAGGUGGGUCACUGGAACCUCAGGACGGGUAGGGCUGGGAGGCCUGGGAUGUUCAGUCACAGCCCCAGGCUACACUGUGGAGGUUUAAGGGGAUGAGGCCUUUGAGGUUUCUGGGGCCAGUGGGGACCUCGGAACCGUGAGGCUUCAGGGAGGCGGGGCCGCCCCUUCAGAGCCGUUAGAAUGCUUGGAGGUGGGUCCCAUACCAGGAUUGGGCAGCCAGAGCCCUAAGGGGCGGGGCCAAGGGCCCAGGAGGCGGGUCGAGAGGCUGGACGCAUCCUAGGAUUGGGCAGUAGGAGCGGCGGGAGGCGGGGCCGCGAGCCAGGCGCGUCCCAGGACCUGCAGUCGGAGACCCAGGCCGGCCGCCUGGGCGCCGGGCGGAGCUCACAGAUUGAGCCAAAGCCACUGACCCUGGGGAUGCUCAUGGGGAGGGAACCCUGGAGCCAGCCCACCCGUGUGAAAAUCCUGCCUCUGCCACUGUCUGCGUGACCUUGGCUGCAUCACUGAGAAGGGAGCUGCCAUAGACCGCUCAAGGAAGAGGAAGACCAUGCCUGGAAUACAGACUGCAAUCCCGCACUCCUGCUGCCGUGGGUAGUGGAGGAAGAUGCUGUGGAAGAUGUUGCGAGGCCGGAAGACCUCCUUGGGGAAGACGUCAAGGAGCAGGUUGUAGACAGACAGGUCCCGCUCGACGCCGUACUCGC